GCGUGAUUAGUUUAGUGGUAGAACAGAACGUUGCCAACGUUCAGACGUGGGUUCGAUUCCCGCAUCGCGCA
rnacentral:tRNA from 1 species